CUUUAUUGGAGAGUUUGAUCCUGGCUCAGGACGAACGCUGGCGGCAUGCCUAAUACA
rnacentral:rRNA from 4 species